rnacentral:rRNA from 1 species
GAUGAACGCUGGCGGCGUGCUUAACACAUGCAAGUCGAACGAAGUGUUUAUUCAAAGUUCUUCGGGAUAGAGAAUAAAUUACUUAGUGGCGGACGGGUGAGAAAGCGUGGGGUAACUGGCCCAAACAAGGGGGAAAAAAGUGGGAACGAACGGCAAUAACGGAAAAAGACCCAGGCACGCAAGGGGGAGGGGGAAAAAGAUUUAUCGGUGUGAGAUGGACCUGCGUCUGAUUAGAUAGUUGGUGGGGUAGAAGCCUACCAAGUCAACGAUCAGUAGCCGACCUGAGAGGGUGAUCGGCCACAUUGGGACUGAGACACGGCCCAAACUCCUACGGGAGGCAGCAGUGGGGAAUAUUGGACAAUGGGGGAAACCCUGAUCCAGCAACGCCGCGUGAGUGAAGAAGUAUUUCGGUAUGUAAAGCUCUAUCAGCAGGGAAGAAAAUGACGGUACCUGACUAAGAAGCCCCGGCUAACUACGUG